rnacentral:rRNA from 1 species
CCAGACUCCUACGGGAGGCAGCAGUGAGGAAUAUUGGUCAAUGGCCGCAGGGCUGAACCAGCCAAGUCGCGUGAGGGAUGACGGUCCUAUGGAUUGUAAACCUCUUUUGUCAGGGAGCAAAGGGCGCCACGUGUGGCGUUUUGCGAGUACCUGAAGAAAAAGCAUCGGCUAACUCCGUGCCAGCAGCCGCGGUAAUACGGAGGAUGCGAGCGUUAUCCGGAUUUAUUGGGUUUAAAGGGUGCGUAGGCGGGCUUUUAAGUCAGCGGUAAAAAUUCGGGGCUCAACCCCGUCCGGCCGUUGAAACUGGGGGCCUUGAGUGGGCGAGAAGAAGGCGGAAUGCGUGGUGUAGCGGUGAAAUGCAUAGAUAUCACGUAGAACCCCGAUUGCGAAGGCAGCGCACCGGCGCCCUACUGACGCUCAGGCACGAAAGCGUGGGUAUCGAACAGGAUUAGAUACCCUUGUA